CUUAGAUGCUCCUCCAGCUCUUCAGAAGCUAAGAGAGAACUUUCCUAGAUGAGACGAGAGUGCAAAUUGAAAGGGCACAAUUAUGCCUUUUUCGGUGUUGCAGAAUGGUUAGUAUGGCCUCUAAAAUGCUACUAGACAGUAUAUUGGGUAUUUUUAUAGCGAGUCUGUCUCCCGUGUUUGUUGUUCCUUAUUGGACAUGUAGUCAUUUGACCCUUACAUUUUAAGUUGUUACUCAUUUCAGAUUUAGACAUCUUGCGGUCUUAGGUUGUUUUGUAUGUUGGCUUAAUUGAUAAUGAUCCUUAAACUUUGCAGUUUCAACCUAACAAUGAAAAGUUUCUCAAACCUAUAUGUAAGAACUACCUGUGCAUUUCGCUUUUUGUUAUUCUGGUUCAUUUUUUUUUCUGCAGUUUGUUAAGUUCAUAGUAUCAAUCUCAUCUCUUUGUGUUUCUCGUGAAAACUAACUUGCUUGAAUAUCUUGGCAUUUCCAUAGGUGUUAAUUACCAAGUAUCCUCUAACUGCAUCUAUGAUCAGAGAGGAACUUAAACACAAAAAUGAUGGCAGUAUGAAUCUCUUAUUAUGAGCUUGGUGCUACAAAGUCGAAGGAGUGUUCAUCUUUUGUUUCAAAAUUAAGGAAAUUGUAAUCAUCAUUUUUUUAAGAAAUGAUUAGUUUGUAUUUUUAAUCUUUUUGUUCCUGUAAAGAUUGUCUUUUUUAAAGAAAUGAUGUAAAUUGAUCUAUGUGAUAUAAUAAAACUUGAUUUA